ensembl:misc_RNA Y_RNA Y RNA
GGCUGGUCCAAUGGUAGUGGGUUAUCAAAACUUGUUAACAUUAGUGUCACUAAGUUGGUAUACAACCCCACACUACUAAAUUUGACUGACUUAAA